GUGGGGAAUAUUGGACAAUGGGCGAAAGCCUGAUCCAGCCAUGCCGCGUGUGUGAAGAAGGUCUUCGGAUUGUAAAGCACUUUAAGUUGGGAGGAAGGGCAUUAACCUAAUACGUUAGUGUUUUGACGUUACCGACAGAAUAAGCACCGGCUAACUUCGUGCCAGCAGCCGCGGUAAUACGAAGGGUGCAAGCGUUAAUCGGAAUUACUGGGCGUAAAGCGCGCGUAGGUGGUUCGUUAAGUUGGAUGUGAAAGCCCCGGGCUCAACCUGGGAACUGCAUCCAAAACUGGCGAGCUAGAGUACGGUAGAGGGUGGUGGAAUUUCCUGUGUAGCGGUGAAAUGCGUAGAUAUAGGAAGGAACACCAGUGGCGAAGGCGACCACCUGGACUGAUACUGACACUGAGGUGCGAAAGCGUGGGGAGCAAACAGGAUUAGAAACCCUGGUAGUCC
rnacentral:rRNA from 1 species